rnacentral:rRNA from 1 species
UACGUAGGGUGCAAGCGUUGUCCGGAAUUAUUGGGCGUAAAGAGCGUGUAGGCGGCUAGAUAGGUCCGUUGUGAAAACUCGAGGCUCAACCUCGAGCUGUCGGUGGAAACUGUCUGGCUAGAGUCCGGAAGAGGAGAAUGGAAUUCUGGUGUAGCGGUGAAAUGCGCAGAUAUCAGGAAGAACACCCGUGGCGAAGGCGGUUCUCUGGGACGGUACUGACGCUGAGACGCGAAAGCGUGGGGGAGCGAACAGG